rnacentral:rRNA from 1 species
GUCUGUGGCCAUUACCACCCUGAACGUGCCCAGUCUUGUCCGAUCUCAGAAGCUAAGCAAGGGUCAGGGCUGGUUGGCACUUGGAUGGGAGACCACCUGAGAAUACUGGGUGCUGCCACCU